AUGAACGUUGGCGGCGUGGAUUAGGCAUGCAAGUCGAGCGAGAACCCCGCAAGGGGGGACAGCGGCAAACGGGGUAGUAAGGCGUAGGUGACGUGCCCUCAGGUCCGGGACAGCCACGGGAAACUGUGAUUAAUACCGGAUGAUCUCUCUGGAUGUGAUGGUCUGGAGAGCAAAGGUGUGAUUCCGCCCGAGGAGCGGCUUGCGUGGUAUUAGCUAGUUGGUGAGGUAACGGCUCACCAAGGCGAAGAUGCCUAGGGGGUGUGAGAGCAUGACCCCCACCACUGGGACUGAGAUACUGCCCAGACACCUACGGGUGGCUGCAGUCGAGAAUCUUCGGCAAUGGGCGCAAGCCUGACCGAGCGACGCCGCGUGCGGGAUGAAGGCCCUUGGGUUGUAAACCGCUGUCAGAGGGGAUGAAAUGCCGGGGGGUUCUCCCCCCGGUUUGACAGAGCCUCAGAGGAAGCACGGGCUAAGUUCGU
rnacentral:rRNA from 1 species